GUGGGGAAUCUUGCGCAAUGGGCGAAAGCCUGACGCAGCCAUGCCGCGUGAAUGAUGAAGGUCUUAGGAUUGUAAAAUUCUUUCACCGGGGACGAUAAUGACGGUACCCGGAGAAGAAGCUCCGGCUAACUUCGUGCCAGCAGCCGCGGUAAUACGAAGGGGGCUAGCGUUGCUCGGAAUUACUGGGCGUAAAGGGCGCGUAGGCGGACAGCUUAGUCAGAGGUGAAAGCCCAGGGCUCAGCCUUGGAAUUGCCUUUGAUACUGGCUGUCUUGAGUGUGGGAGAGGUGAGUGGAACUCCGAGUGUAGAGGUGAAAUUCGUAGAUAUUCGGAAGAACACCAGUGGCGAAGGCGACUCACUGGCCCAAUACUGACGCUGAGGCGCGAAAGCGUGGGGAGCAAACAGGAUUAGAUACCCGGGUAGUCC
rnacentral:rRNA from 1 species